rnacentral:rRNA from 1 species
CCGGGGUGAGUAAUGUCUGGGAAACUGCCUGAUGGAGGGGGGUAACUACUGGAAACGGUAGCUAAUACCGCAUAACGUCUUCGGACCAAAGUGGGGGACCUUCGGGCCUCACGCCAUCGGAUGUGCCCAGAUGGGAUUAGCUAGUAGGUGGGGUAAUGGCUCACCUAGGCGACGAUCCCUAGCUGGUCUGAGAGGAUGACCAGCCACACUGGAACUGAGACACGGUCCAG